GCUAAUAUUUCUGUCAGUCAGGUCAAGGAUAAUGAAACAAAACUCUAGGAAGGCUCACCUAAGCUUUGACUUUCCUUAUUAAAAAUGCUCCCAUUCAUAAAACCUACAUUUGCAAAUGCAAAAUCAACAGUUAAAUGUUUACCUUUCCUGUGCCCGCAUCUCUCCAAGGAGAGAGAAAUGAUCUUUAUCCAGUUUUCACUUGUAAUAAUCUGAGGAAGUUUUUGGAGGAAAAACAAGUUUUCCCAAACUUUUCUUGUUAUUACUACAUGUGAGUAAAUAUAGUUUGCUGUUAACAGAACCAGAGUUUUCUUGCAAUAACAGUAUUUUUUGUCCACAUAUCUCUCCAUUCAUGGUUUAGAUUAAUCCGUUUCCCCGUAAUUAAAUAAACAACACUCUCUACGUGGCUAUAUAGAAUAAACUAAAAUGAAGAAAGAACAUGUUGUGGAAAAUAUGGAGAAGUACAACUAGAGAAGUGCAACGUACUUCAGCAGAAUCCAGGUUGCAUCAUGUUGUGCUCCACUACAUCAUGUUAGUAUAUAUGGCGGAGAAGGCAAAAUGCAGUAACAGGAUGUGACAGACAACACUUAGCAAAAAUAUUCACUUAUUUGACUCAGAUACUUGCUAUCAGUUUGAAUUGGGAUACAUGGUACCAAGCAAAGCUGACAGAUAGAAGCAAACUCAGCAAGGAACUCACCCCACGUAGAUCCAAAAGCUUCUUGUCUCAUACCCAGUACUCGCUCUCCUAGUGGUCACUGCUCUCCCUCAGCUCUCCUCCUCACCAUUCCUUUCCUUGAUGUAAGUAGUUCUACCAGCUGGUUGUUGUUUCUUUUGAUAUAACACAUGAGCUCCCCAUGUGGGACUAAUCACAUCCUGUUGUACUUAACGAGUUCCCUUAAAUGACAGUUGACGGAAAUGCCAUAAAUCAUUUUUAUAUGAGUGAAAUUGUGAAUUACGCACAAAAAAAGAGUGCCUGGGCACUGUGCAUUUAUGUAUACAGAGGGACUAUUUCAGUUAACAAGAAGCUUAUUCUUGAAGGCACCUAUAUUUUAUACUGUGGCAAAGUCUUUCUGACAGACUUAAAAAUAUUGAGGGUCCUUUAUUGCUCUUGGAGGAAAUAUUUCAUGGCAAUACUUCUGAAAAAGGUUUAGCAAAGUAGUGAAUGCUCAUGUAAGUGAAUCAAGUAAUCCCCCAUAACAAGGCAGCUGAGGAGCAGACCUUUCUUCACAAGAGUUUCCAAAAGCACUGAUCCUGACCUGGAUGAGGACUUCCAACCCACAGAGCACCUCUUGGACAGCCUUCAAACCAUGACGUGUUCUGUACAAUCUGUCCUAGCAGGAAUUAGGAUGGGAGAACUUCAUGCCAAGUAUCAACAGUGCCAGCAAAGGUGGCUCAAUGGCCUAAGGCCAAGCUGCUGAAGUGUGAGGAAAUUUGCACACGGACAUGAAGACUUCCCUCUUUCAAGAGGUGGAGCCAAAGAAAUAGGCCAAGCUACCAAGUGUAGUAUCUGUAUCUCACCAAUACAGACCCAAUCCAGUCAAUCACAUGGCUACAACUUGAAGGAAAGGAAUAAGGAGAUACCAAUGAUUUGUAGGAUCAUGAAAAGAAAGCAAUGCAUGUCAAAACUUAAGUUUGUAUGAUGGCAGCAGGGUGCAAGAUCCUUUGCUUUGUAGAGGGAAUUAAUUAGAACACAGAGGGAAGUGAUUAAAUGAUGCACUCAAGUAAUACACACACCCAUUUCAUGGCCUAGCACUUUCCUGCUUGUUCACACAUGUAUCAUCUCAUCAGAGCCCUAAAGGAAAGCAGUGGAGGACCACAGCAGCCCAAAAUAGGCUCUCCAAAAUGCCACAAACAGGGGGCUUCUCCUAGCAGCAGAGGACAGCUGAGAUGAACAAGGCUUUAUACAAAUGUUAGGGAAUAGAACAGAAAUAAAAGGACCCAUUCUUCACAAAGCCCACACACUCCCUGAGAAGCUGCUCAGCAAUGAGGAGACCAUACUGGCUGCCAUGUCGUGGGGUAAUUCCUUUGGUGUGGUCCUGGACUGUGAUGAGAUCCAGGAAAAUUGGAAAGGUCAAUGGGAGGUGGGAGGACAGAGAGAGCAACACUGGGGGAGGCUGGAAGUGGCUGGGGUGCUGAUAUGAAGCCAUGAGUACGUUAAACUUGGUGUCCUCAUCCAGAACACAGCCCUUACCCAGUAAGCAUGCUCUGUGGUGUAUGCAUCUCUCUCUUGUGCUCAGUCUGGGUUGGAUCCUUCACCAGCCCAUUUCUCAUGUGCCAUAAUGCACACAGAAAUGCUGCUCCUUGUGCUUGAUCACACUGCUCCUUUGGUGGCUUUAAUUAAAGGGUUUCUGCCCAUCAGUGUCUGCAGAGGCCUCUUACCUUGUGCUUGCUUUUGGAGCCUGGUCCCGGGCACAGCAGUGCCAAGUGAAAAACCAUCCUCUGAGCAAGUGCUCUAUCCUCGUCUUACCUGCUGAAAAAGAAUUUAAAAAUGAUUAAAUAAUUAAUACUGGGUGUUGCUUAACACUUGUUAAGAGUCUUAGUUAAUAAUUUUCUGAAGCUUUUUUUUUUCUAAUUUGGGAAUAAAACAGAUAUAAUUGAGCAUGUCAUUCCAAAGCAACAAAUAACACUGUGCAGAGAAUUGAAGGAAACAUGUUUCUUUGAUUAGGAUGUUUUUCUCAUUAACAGGAUGUUCAAAAUAAAGCAAAAAUAUUUGAUGCACAGAGCCGGUGGCAGUAUCAAGUUAACGCUGGCGUGCUCCUGCAUUUUACCUCAUGUUUACUAAUCAAUCAGAAAGGACUCUUGCUGCCAAGAAAGGUCACAUCUUUC
rnacentral:lncRNA from 1 species